GGGAAUGUGGCUUAGUGGUAGAGUGCUUGCCUAGCAUGCAUGAAACCCUGGGUUCCAUUCCUC
rnacentral:tRNA from 1 species